UACCAGCACCCCGAGUGGUCGGGACGUUUAUUGGGCCUAAAGCAUCCGUAGCCGGUUCUACAAGUCUUCCGUUAAAUCCAGCUGCUUAACAGAUGGGCUGCGGAAGAUACUAUGGAGCUAGGAGGCGGGAGGGGCAAGCGGUACUCGAUGGGUAGGGGUAAAAUCCGUUGAUCCAUUGAAGACCACCAGUGGCGAAGGCGGCUUGCCAGAACGCGCUCGACGGUGAGGGAUGAAAGCUGGGGGAGCAAACCGG
rnacentral:rRNA from 1 species